GACGAACGCUGGCGGCGUGCUUAACACAUGCAAGUCGAGCGGAAAGGCCCUUCGGGGUACUCGAGCGGCGAACGGGUGAGUAACACGUGAGUAAUCUGCCCCAGGCUCUGGGAUAGCCACCGGAAACGGUGAUUAAUACCGGAUACGACAACCGAUUGCAUGAUCUGGUUGUGGAAAGUUUUUCGGCCUGGGAUGUGCUCGCGGCCUAUCAGCUUGUUGGUGAGGUAAUGGCUCACCAAGGCUUCGACGGGUAGCCGGCCUGAGAGGGUGACCGGCCACACUGGGACUGAGACACGGCCCAGACUCCUACGGGAGGCAGCAGUGGGGAAUAUUGGACAAUGGGCGGAAGCCUGAUCCAGCAACGCCGCGUGAGGGAUGACGGCCUUCGGGUUGUAAACCUCUUUCAGCACAGACGAAGCGCAAGUGACGGUAUGUGCAGAAGAAGGACCGGCCAACUACGUGCCAGCCGCCGCGGUAACAC
rnacentral:rRNA from 1 species